ensembl:lncRNA
AUCUUACUGUAUAACAUCAGCGCUUGGCUGCCCCUCUGGUAAACUUGGAGAAGAACCGAUUUCCAUUUUGCUCCUUUUGAAAUGAAAGGCGUUUGAGGAUUGUCAUUCAGCAGGAAUGUACCAAUUCUAAGAACUUCUAAACAAGGCUCGCUUCAUAAUGAAUGGCAGCGGGAGCCUGGAUUUAUGCUCAGCGCAGGCCUGAGGGAUAAUGGCAGAUGACUCAUGGACCAGACACCAGUGACAACGCAUUACUCCGUGUCUGUUGGCCAAGUGCUACUGACUGAAAUCACUGGCUCUACCUCAAUUCACUGCAGCAAAGUGUCUGGUCUUGCUUGGAUUUGCUUGAGAAAUGACCUUUAUUUUUCUUAUCCGCAUUCUCACCUUAUGCAGUCUCCAUGUGUGUGCCAAAGUCACCUCCCCUGCAAGGGUGGACAGAUUUAGAGAUGCUCAAAAUGGCACAGGUAAGUGGGGUGAAUUUUAUUUUUUGAGUUCUUUAUUUGUCUUUGAAAAGAAAGCUUCUAAAAAUGGCUUAUAAUUGCAGGUGAGGAGAUAACUGUUAGCAACAAAUGAGCUUCUGUGCAGUUCCUCCCAGCCACAGUCUGGGGGAGUUUAGGAAGCUGUGUAACCACAGGGAUAUUUCUUUCCCAGCUCCAGUAGUUCAUGUGUCCUUACAGGACUCAUUUUCUGUAAUUUUGCCAAAAAGCAGUUUUAAAACCUUCACACAUGGCAUGGACAAAAAAAAGAGAGGCUUUUAAUACAGACCCCUGAACGCUACGGGUGUUGAAUCGAGAUAACUUUAUAAUAUAUGUAGAAUGUGACAUGGGCGUCCCACUAGACAUCUGAUGUUGUGCUUGGCCUCUAGGUCACAAGGAGAUGUUCUUGCCAGGCAGCACUGUCCUAGGCCUGAGAACCAACUUUGCUUUCCAAGCCUGGUGCUGCAGCCAACUGGGGUCACCCAACUGGUGAGGUCUUGCGGGUAGGGUUGUUAGAGUUAGGGUAGUAUGGUUAGGUUGUGGCUGGACUUGAUGAUCUUGAAGUUCUUUUCUAACCUGAGCAAUUCUAUCAUUCUGUGAUCACUUUGUAUGGAUUCUUGCCUAGAACUGUGUAACAGCAUAGGCAAGGGUACAUAUACAUAUGGGACACGUUAUGAAAAUCAGAAGAUUCUUCUCAAGUGUCCGCAUCUUUAAAUGAGCAAAAGUAAACAAAAAGAGCAUUAUCAGGGGGCCUGAGUCUUGGAGGUCCAGCUCGGUCCUUCUAAGAAUCUAUGUACCUGACAUUUUGCUUUAGUUUCAUCAAAUAAGGAAAGGUGAUGAAAACCAAGGAAAUGAGCCGAAGUGACCCCUUGCUGGAUUAAUUGAACACAGUGACAGAUUAGAGGCCCUGGUGGGCUCCCCUGCCUAGAACAAUAUACAGCUGAUGUGUGUGAUAAAAUGAACAAAUGCUUCCAUCCUAUGGAUUUUACUGGAGUUAAAUGUUUCCUGCCUGUGACAAGUAACAGGAACAGAUUUUUCAGGUUUCUUAUUAUAAAAUCUUUCAUGAUGACAUCUUCCGUACAGUCAUGUACCUCUUAGAAGCCCUAGAGACAAGCAUACGAGUAUUUUGAUAAAAUGAUGACUAAUUCCAUUCUCUUCUCUGCAUGUUGUUAUUGAUCCUUUUAAAGGCUCUCAUUUAAUGACUUCCUUUCUGCAGUACAGGGGAUCGCUGACUGGGCAUUCCUUAGUAGUUUGGGUCUAGAGGCUAUUUGGCUGAAGAUGAAUGGAGUUAUGCUUUCAUUGGCUUGCUUCUAUUGUUUCAUGUUCCACUGCCUAGGAGUUUUUUAAAGAAAAUCAUCAAAGUGAAUAAUCUGUUCCAUACUACAAUUAUAAAUCCUGAGGAGAAAAGUAGGCUGCAUCAUUUUUAGUAAAAAUUGAAAAACCUCAGUCUGGGGAUACCAGAAGAUAUAUCAAGCUGUGCUAGAGGUAGAAUUAAUCCAUUCAAACCCAAGCAUAAAAAGGGACUUCAGGUUUCUGUGAAACAGAGCUCAGAUACUGCAGUUGGCUUUCUGCCAGGCUUUAGGCCAUGUAGAAACUAACUUUUGCAUAAAGUCUGUGCAACAUAUUGUGCAGUGAACCCUAUGUUAAAGUAUCUAUUCAAAAUCCUAGUGCAAAUGCAGAGGAUUUGAAGGCCUAAAGAAAUUGACAUCCUGUCAGGAGCAGAAACAGUGACAGCGUUAACACAAAGAAUGUGAAUUGGGUCUUUUCCUGGGACAUUGAUUUACAGGGUUGAGCUUGGAACAGCAAUAAAAGUGACUUUAAAAUGAUCUCACAGUAAUGGAAGAGUAUGCAUUGGAAUAAAAUGUAUACAUAACACACACAGCAACUAAAGGGAAGAUACUCAGAUGAAAACAUUGGUGUGGACAUCAGUAAGUAUCUAGCUUCUUGCAUAACCAUCUUAGAGAAAUGAAACACAUUUGGAGACUGCCUUAAACAAUUAUGUCCAAAAAUCUUAUCUUGUGUUGACCUUUUCAAACUCACUAUUAAUGCAAAAAUGUGUAAAGGAAGUGCAUUGUGAUUCUGAAUAUUACUUUUUUACCUUGGCUUUUCAGCUCAUGCAGGAAAAUUGUAUGUGACUAACGAAUAC